AUACGGAGGGUGCAAGCGUUACUCGGAAUCACUGGGCGUAAAGCGCGCGUAGGCGGCUUCAUAAGUCAGGUGUGAAAGCCCACGGCUCAACCGUGGAACUGCACUUGAAACUGUGAUGUUAGAGUCUGGGAGAGGCAGAUGGAAUUGGUGGUGUAGGGGUAAAAUCCGUAGAGAUCACCAGGAAUACCGAUGGCGAAGGCGAUCUGCUGGAACAGUACUGACGCUGAGGCGUGAAGGCGUGGGGAGCAAACAGGAUUAGAAACCCUAGUAGUCC
rnacentral:rRNA from 1 species